GAUGAACGCUGGCGGCGUGCUUAACACAUGCAAGUCGAACGGAAAGGCCAGUGCUUGCACUGGUACUCGAGUGGCGAACGGGUGAGUAACACGUGGGUGAUCUGCCCUGCACUUCGGGAUAAGCCUGGGAAACUGGGUCUAAUACCGGAUAGGACAACGGUUUGGAUGCCGUUGUGGAAAGUUUUUUCGGUGUGGGAUGAGCUCGCGGCCUAUCAGCUUGUUGUUGGGGUGAUGGCCUACAAAGGGGUCGACGGGUAUCCGGCCUGAGAGGGUGUACGGCGACAUUGGGACUGAGAUACGGCCCAGAGUCUUACGGGAGGGAGCGAUGGGGAAUAUUGCACAAUGGGGGCAAGCCUGAGGCAGCGAAGCCGCGCGGGGGAUGACGGCCUUUGGGUUGUAAACUCCUCUCGCUCGGGACGAGGCGCAUUUGUGACGGUACCUGGAGAAGAAGCACCGGCUAACUACGUG
rnacentral:rRNA from 1 species